GAUGAACGCUGGCGGCGUGCCUAAUACAUGCAAGUCGAGCGAAUGGAUUAAGAGCUUGCUCUUAUGAAGUUAGCGGCGGACGGGUGAGUAACACGUGGGUAACCUGCCCAUAAGACUGGGAUAACUCCGGGAAACCGGGGCUAAUACCGGAUAACAUUUUGAACCGCAUGGUUCGAAAUUGAAAGGCGGCUUCGGCUGUCACUUAUGGAUGGACCCGCGUCGCAUUAGCUAGUUGGUGAGGUAACGGAUCACCAAGGCAACGGUGCGUAGCCGACCUGAGAGGGUGAUCGGCCACACUGGGACUGAGAAACGGCCCAGACUCCUACGGGAGGUAGCAGUAGGGAAUCUUCCGCAAUGGACGAAAGUCGGACGGAGCAACGCCGCGUGAGUGAUGAAGGCUUUCGGGUCGUAAAACUCUGUUGUUAGGGAAGAACAAGUGCUAGUUGAAUAAGCUGGCACCUUGACGGUACCUAACCAGAAAGCCACGGCUAACUACGUGCCAGCCGCCGCAGUAA
rnacentral:rRNA from 1 species